rfam:Nicotiana attenuata strain TT chromosome 11, whole genome shotgun sequence.
AUACUCUUUGGGGACAUCCAAUAAAGAUGGAACGAUACAGAAAAAAUUAGUACGCCCAUUGCGGAAGGAUAACACGCACAAAUCGAGAAAUGAUCCAAUUUUUA